rnacentral:rRNA from 1 species
CCUACGGGAGGCAGCAGUGGGGAAUAUUGGACAAUGGGCGCAAGCCUGAUCCAGCCAUGCCGCGUGUGUGAAGAAGGUCUUCGGAUUGUAAAGCACUUUAAGUUGGGAGGAAGGGCAGUAAGCGAAUACCUCGCUGUUUUGACGUUACCGUCAGAAUAAGCCCCG